rnacentral:rRNA from 1 species
AUUGAACGCUGGCGGCAGGCCUAACACAUGCAAGUCGAGCGGUAGCACAGAGAGCUUUGCUCUCGGGUGACGAGCGGCGGACGGGUGAGUAAUGUCUGGGAAACUGCCUGAUGGAGGGGGAUAACUACUGGAAACGGUAGCUAAUACCGCAUAACGUCGCAAGACCAAAGUGGGGGACCUUCGGGCCUCAUGCCAUCAGAUGUGCCCAGAUGGGAUUAGCUAGUAGGUGGGGUAACGGCUCACCUAGGCGACGAUCCCUAGCUGGUCUGAGAGGAUGACCAGCCACACUGGAACUGAGACACGGUCCAGACUCCUACGGGAGGCAGCAGUGGGGAAUAUUGCACAAUGGGCGCAAGCCUGAUGCAGCCAUGCCGCGUGUGUGAAGAAGGCCUUCGGGUUGUAAAGCACUUUCAGCGGGGAGGAAGGCGGUGAGGUUAAUAACCUCAUCGAUUGACGUUACCCGCAGAAGAAGCACCGGCUAACUCCGUGCCAGCAGCCGCGGUAAUACGGAGGGUGCAAGCGUUAAUCGGAAUUACUGGGCGUAAAGCGCACGCAGGCGGUCUGUCAAGUCGGAUGUGAAAUCCCCGGGCUCAACCUGGGAACUGCAUUCGAAACUGGCAGGCUAGAGUCUUGUAGAGGGGGGUAGAAUUCCAGGUGUAGCGGUGAAAUGCGUAGAGAUCUGGAGGAAUACCGGUGGCGAAGGCGGCCCCCUGGACAAAGACUGACGCUCAGGUGCGAAAGCGUGGGGAGCAAACAGGAUUAGAUACCCUGGUAGUCCACGCCGUAAACGAUGUCGAUUUGGAGGUUGUGCCCUUGAGGCGUGGCUUCCGGAGCUAACGCGUUAAAUCGACCGCCUGGGGAGUACGGCCGCAAGGUUAAAACUCAAAUGAAUUGACGGGGGCCCGCACAAGCGGUGGAGCAUGUGGUUUAAUUCGAUGCAACGCGAAGAACCUUACCUGGUCUUGACAUCCACAGAACUUUCCAGAGAUGGAUUGGUGCCUUCGGGAACUGUGAGACAGGUGCUGCAUGGCUGUCGUCAGCUCGUGUUGUGAAAUGUUGGGUUAAGUCCCGCAACGAGCGCAACCCUUAUCCUUUGUUGCCAGCGGUUCGGCCGGGAACUCAAAGGAGACUGCCAGUGAUAAACUGGAGGAAGGUGGGGAUGACGUCAAGUCAUCAUGGCCCUUACGACCAGGGCUACACACGUGCUACAAUGGCAUAUACAAAGAGAAGCGACCUCGCGAGAGCAAGCGGACCUCAUAAAGUAUGUCGUAGUCCGGAUUGGAGUCUGCAACUCGACUCCAUGAAGUCGGAAUCGCUAGUAAUCGUAGAUCAGAAUGCUACGGUGAAUACGUUCCCGGGCCU